rnacentral:misc_RNA from 1 species
AAGUCGUAACAAGGUUUCCGUAGGUGAACCUGCGGAAGGAUCAUUAACACGUAUCCACGUAUCAACCCACCGCGAAUUCGUUUUCAACGUCUCCCUGAGCGCUCGAUGAAUUGGAUCAACGAUGAGAAUAGAGUGGGGCUCUGUAUAGUUGUAUAUGGAGCUCGUCUCAUCAUUGCCUGAUGUAUCUUCGGAUGCAACGCCAAUUGUACGAGUGACCUCAGGCAAUUUCCUCUCUACUCAGGCGACACUCUCGCUUCGAGUUGAUUGGAUGAAUAUACAAACAUUUCUUAACGAAUUUCACCUUGAAUUUUGCUAGUUGACUUGAUUCUAUGUGGAUGCGCCUAGCGUAUUCUCACGUUUGAUUUUAAUUGAACGAUCAGCACAACUCUUAGCAAUGGAUAUCUAGGUUCUC